rnacentral:rRNA from 1 species
ARAACGACUCUCGGCAACGGAUAUCUCGGCUCUCGCAUCGAUGAAGAACGUAGCGAAAUGCGAUACUUGGUGUGAAUUGCAGAAUCCCGUGAACCAUCGAGUCUUUGAACGCAAGUUGCGCCCAAAGCCUUCCGGUCGAGGGCACGUCUGCCUGGGUGUCACAA